GUUUCCGUAGGUGAACCUGCGGAAGGAUCAUUAUUGUAUAACCGAGGUGCGAGGGCUGUCGCUGACCCGAAAGGUCGUGCACGCCCGAGUGCCCUCACACACAUCCAUCUCACCCCUAUGUGCACCACCGCGUGGGUCCCCCUUUGGCUUGUUCGGAGGGGGGCUUACGUUUUCACACAAACUUUGUAUGCAGUGUAGAAUGUAUUUUUUGUUUUUGCGAUCACGCAAUCAAUACAACUUUCAACAACGGAUCUCUUGGCUCUC
rnacentral:misc_RNA from 1 species